AGAGGGCUCAAAAUAGCAGCACUAUGAUCAGUCCACAAGGGGGAUUUAGUGACAGCAGAGGGUGCGUGGCUGUAUAUCAGCGUAGUUGGGGGGAUGAGAGGAGGCAGAGUCGAUCAUCGUGGAGACUGCCAAGUUCCAUCAGCCGUCCGUGGGGUAGUCGUGGCCGGGGACUGCUGCGGCGAGGGGGCGGCAUCCUUCUUAGCAGAGGGGUUCUCAGCUGUCUCUGGACGAAUGAGGCCUCCAGAGCUUCUCCUGAUCACGGCCUCUUUUCAGUAACUUGCGGCGAGAGGAGGAGGAAGACUUGACCGCUGAAAAAUGGGAGUCCUGCAUAUCCAGGAUGGCAAACCUGUUGGCCAGCGGGAGAUCCCGAUGUGAAGGAGGGGGAGGUAGGCGCUUUGCACCAUGUCUGUCCUUGCAGGCUACAGUCCAGUGCUCCAGUUGAUGUUGAGUCGAACUCACCGGAACCUUCUCACCACCCCCGCCGACGAGUGACCGUGCAUCUACUGGGGUUCGGUAAAGAGUGCACCCAUGAUGAGCCACAGAUCUUCAGGCUUAGCUGAAAUGGCUUCAUGCCCCGGGACGCCAGUAAUGAUGGAGCUGAGCCACAAAAGAGUGGGAUCAUUGUCCAGUACUGGAGUGGAGCAGUCGGGAUGAGAUGGGGAUAGUUGCAUUCUGGUUGCUGCAGCCAGAAGAGCUGAGGACUGUAAGGUGUUUUGCCUGGGCCGAGGCGACAGUGGAGAACUCCAGGAUGAGCUUGUCUUUUUCUCUGAGAUUGGCUUCCAGACAAGCAAUAAUUUUCUUCAGCUUUGAGAUGGUAAGGUGGCAAGAUCCACACUCAGCCAUCACACUUGCAGUUAGUCUGUAAAAGUGCUAAAAGCUUAAACUCCUUAAUAAAAGUGACCAGCUAGCCUAGCUCGGGCUAAAAACAAACCUAGCUGAGCUAGCAGCAGUGGAGGCAGUCCGGUAAACUUAAAAGUUGAUGUUAGUUAUGUUAUGCUCCACACAGUUAGAUUGCAUGCUAACUAUGUCCUUUUAACUUGGCAUCGUUAUCCUAAACUGACCACACAUAUACACCUCUAGUUUGACUUAAACACAACCACACACACGGCGGAGAGUAACUUUAAAGCUUAUGCUUCACAUGUUCCUUUGUUUUUGAUCACGUGGGAACAUGCACAUGCAGACUUUAUGUACUUCCUCCAAAGUCUUGGAUUUAAAUCCUAACAGUGUUUACUCCCGUAUCAACUCAUUGAAAUGUGGGACACGUUUCAGGCACACACUUGGUGAAAUGUUACAUUUGGUCAAUGAAAGUGAUAACGCGGCCACUGCAAAAAGCUUUUGUGCCGACAGAGUUGUAGUUUGGAAUUUAGUUAAUGAAUACAAGUUGUGUGAAUGUCUGUAUUUAGGCUACUUAUAUUACCUCCUACUACUACUGUUUCUAUGACUGCUGUUUUCAGCUAAACUGACACAAUUGGAAUAUAUAUGUUUUCUAGCAUAAACUGCAUUUUGACCCACAAACCAGGUGAACCUGUUAUGAGCCACAAAGCAAAGAGGGGAAAAAUGUCAACUGCUUUGAAGUCCAUCUUACAGUUUUUCUCAAUCGAUUUGGUACAUUUCUCCAAACUCAGGUAACAGCUCUCAAAACAGUUAACACAGUGAUCAGUACAAUUUGUAAUUGUCCUAAACAGAUAGUAAAUUCUUCUUCAUUUCAUACAAAUCACAUAUCAAAAGCAUAAUUUUCUCAAAACACUGUGCACAAAAAUCCCAAAUUUUAUCACAGCAGUUCAUACAGCCAACCAAAUCUUUAAUAUAUCAGGAAAAACAUUUGUAACUUUUUCAUUGUUCUUCACAAGAUCACAAGCAUUUUUGUACCAUUUUCAAAACACAACAAACAAAACUCAAAGACAAAUGAGGAGAUACAGUAAAACAAAAAAAAGAAGUAUGAGCAGUGGAAACAGAGGAGGUUUAAGAGUGAGAGGUGGUGGCUAGGGUAGAGGGAGAAGAGGAAGAGGAAGAGGAGAUAGAGAAAGGGAAAGAAGAGCUAAAGAUGUAGGAGGAAGAGCGAGAAGAGCUGAGGAUGUAGGAAGAGGAGAAGAGAUUGAAGAGAUGGAUAGAUUGGAGGGCAAUGGUAUAGUGGAAAGAGAAAAUAUAAGAAGAGGUGGACAGGGAGGAAGAGGAGGGCAAAGAGGAAGAGGAGGCCAAGGUGUAAGAGGAGGGAGGAGAGGUAGAAUGAGGGUAGGGUACACGCGUGUUUCAAAUGAAAUCAGAGCCACACUUAUUGACCAUGUCAUAAAUCAUGGUCUCUCACUGAGAGAAGCUGGCCAGAGAGUUCAGUCCAAUGUAAACAGAUCCACAGUGGCUUCAAUUAUCCGUACAUUUCAGAAGGAAAACCGGUAAGUAACUAUAUCAUUCUACUUUUACAAUGAGAGUCCAUGUAGUCUUGUUUGACAUAGGUCUAGAUCUCUACAGUAAAUGUUCCUGCUUGUCCAAACCUUUUUCAGAAUUGAAGUUAGAGAACAUUCAGGUGGACGAACAAGACUUUUUUCAGUUGAACAAGAGCAUGCCAUUGUUGACAUGGUGGUCCAGAACCACCCUAACCCUCUGCCUCAAAGAAAAUCAGCAAAGAAUAACACAGGACAAUCAACUGUUCCACAAUAUCCACCAAUGCAGUCUCUCCACAAUUAACCGUGUUCUAAGAAGAAAUGCUAUCCGAAUGAAGCAAGUAUACAAAGUGUCCUUUGAGAGGAACUUCGUUAGAGUGAAGGAGUUGCGAUUCCAGUUUGUUCAAAGAAUCUUGGAGUUGGAUAACAGUGCAACUCAUUAUGAGUACCUGUAUAUUGAUGAAGCAGGCUUCAAUC